rnacentral:rRNA from 1 species
UGGGGAAUCUUGCGCAAUGGGCGAAAGCCUGACGCAGCGACGCCGCGUGAGGGAAGAAGGCCUUCGGGUUGUAAACCUCUUUCAGCAGGGACGAAGCUACUCGGGUGAACAGCCCAGAGGGUGACGGUACCUGUAGAAGAAGCCCCGGCUAACUACGUGCCAGCAGCCGCGGUAAUACGUAGGGGGCAAGCGUUGUCCGGAUUUACUGGGCGUAAAGAGCGUGUAGGCGGCCAGGCAGGUCUGUUGUGAAAACUGGAGGCUCAACUUCCAGACGUCGACAGAAACCGCUUGGCUAGAGUCCGGAAGAGGAGAGUGGAAUUCCUGGUGUAGCGGUGAAAUGCGCAGAUAUCAGGAAGAACACCAAUGGCGAAGGCAGCUCUCUGGGACGGUACUGACGCUGAGACGCGAAAGCGUGGGGAGCGAACAGGAUUAGAUACCCUGGUAGUCCACGCCGUAAACGAUGGGUGCUAGGUGUGGGAGGUGUCGACUCC